ACGGGGUGCAGCAGGCGCGAAACCUNUACAAUGCACGAAAGUGUGAUAGGGGGACUCCAAGUGACCACUUCCGUGGUCUUUUGUGAAGCGUAAAUAACUUCAUGAAUAAGGGCUGGGCAAGACCCGUGCCAGCCGCCGCGGUAAUACGGGCAGCUCAAGUAGUGUUCACGAAUAUUUGGCCUAAAGCGUCCGUAGCCGGCCACGUCAGUCUCUGGUGAAAUCCUGCAGCUCAACUGUGGGGCUUGCCAGGGAAACAGCGUGGCUUGGAGUCGGGAGGGGUCGGAGGAAUUCCUGGGGUAGGAGUAAAAUCCUGUAAUCCUUGGAGGACCAUCAGUGGCGAAGGCGUCCGACUGGAACGAGCUCGACGGUGAGGGACGAAAGCCAGGGGAGCGACCCGGAUUAGAUACCCGGUUAGUCCUGGCCGUAAAUGAUGCUGGUUUGGUGUCGCAUAACUCACGAGGUUAUGCAGUGCCGUAGGGAAGCCGUUUAACCAGCCGCCUGGG
rnacentral:rRNA from 1 species